rnacentral:snRNA from 1 species
GUCUUUUCGGAGACAAUUGGAAAGAUACAGAGAAAAUUAGCAUGGCCCCUGCGCAAGGAUGACACGCACUAUGGUUGGUCUGAUUUCA